CCUACGGGCGGCAGCAGUGAGGAAUAUUGGUCAAUGGACGAGAGUCUGAACCAGCCAAGUAGCGUGAAGGAUGACUGCCCUAUGGGUUGUAAACUUCUUUUAUAUGGGAAUAAAAUGUUCCACGUGUGGGAUUUUGUAUGUACCAUAUGAAUAAGGAUCGGCUAACUCCGUGCCAGCAGCCGCGGUAAUACGGAGGAUCCGAGCGUUAUCCGGAUUUAUUGGGUUUAAAGGGAGCGUAGGUGGAUUGUUAAGUCAGUUGUGAAAGUUUGCGGCUCAACCGUAAAAUUGCAGUUAAACUGGCAGUCUUGAGUACAGUAGAGGUGGGCGGAAUUCGUGGUGUAGCGGUGAAAUGCUUAGAUAUCACGAAGAACUCCGAUUGCGAAGGCAGUUCACUGGACUGCAACUGACACUGAGGCUCGAAAGUGUGGGUAUCAAACAGGAUUAGAUACCCGAGUAGUC
rnacentral:rRNA from 1 species